rnacentral:rRNA from 1 species
UACGUAGGGUGCAAGCGUUGUCCGGAAUUAUUGGGCGUAAAGAGCUCGUAGGCGGUCUGUCGCGUCGGCUGUGAAAACCCGGAGCUCAACUCCGGGCCUGCAGUCGAUACGGGCAGACUGGAGUUCGGCAGGGGAGACUGGAAUUCCUGGUGUAGCGGUGAAAUGCGCAGAUAUCAGGAGGAACACCGAUGGCGAAGGCAGGUCUCUGGGCCGAUACUGACGCUGAGGAGCGAAAGCGUGGGGAGCGAACAGG